rnacentral:rRNA from 1 species
AGAACGAACGCUGGCGGCAUGCCUAACACAUGCAAGUCGAACGAGACCUUCGGGUCUAGUGGCGCACGGGUGCGUAACGCGUGGGAAUCUGCCCUUGGGUACGGAAUAACAGCGAGAAAUUGCUGCUAAUACCGUAUAACGACGUAAGUCCAAAGAUUUAUCGCCCAGGGAUGAGCCCGCGUAGGAUUAGCUUGUUGGUGAGGUAAAAGCUCACCAAGGCGACGAUCCUUAGCUGGUCUGAGAGGAUGAUCAGCCACACUGGGACUGAGACACGGCCCAGACUCCUACGGGAGCAGCAGUGGGGAAUGUUGACAAUGGGACGAAAGCCUGAUCCAGCAAUGCCGCGUGAGUGAGUGAAGGCCGUUAGGGUUAGUAAAGUCUUCGUUUUUGGCCCGGGAUGAUAAUGAACGAGGUACCGGGAAGAAUAAGCAUCGGACUAAC